CCUACGGGUGGCUGCAGUGGGGAAUAUUGGACAAUGGGCGAAAGCCUGAUCCAGCCAUGCCGCGUGUGUGAAGAAGGCCUUCGGGUUGUAAAGCACUUUCAGUGGGGAAGAAAGCCUUGGGGCUAAUACCCUCGAGGAAGGACAUCACCCACAGAAGAAGCACCGGCUAACUCCGUGCCAGCAGCCGCGGUAAUACGGAGGGUGCGAGCGUUAAUCGGAAUUACUGGGCGUAAAGCGCGCGUAGGCGGUCUGAUAAGCCGGUUGUGAAAGCCCCGGGCUCAACCUGGGAACGGCAUCCGGAACUGUCAGGCUAGAGUGCAGGAGAGGAAGGUAGAAUUCCCGGAGUAGCGGUGAAAUGCGUAGAGAUCGGGAGGAAUACCAGUGGCGAAGGCGGCCUUCUGGACUGACACUGACGCUGAGGUGCGAAAGCGUGGGUAGCAAACAGGAUUAGAUACCCUGGUAGUC
rnacentral:rRNA from 1 species